rnacentral:rRNA from 1 species
AGCGAACGCUGGCGGCAGGCUUAACACAUGCAAGUCGAGCGCCCCGCAAGGGGAGCGGCAGACGGGUGAGUAACGCGCGGGAACGUACCCUUUGCUACGGAAUAGCUCCGGGAAACUGGAAUUAAUACCGUAUGUGCCCUACGGGGGAAAGAUUUAUCGGCAAAGGAUCGGUCCGCGUUGGAAUAGCUAGUUGGUGGGGUAAUGGCCUACCAGGACGACGAUCCAUAGCUGGUCUGAGAGGAUGAUCAGCCACAUUGGGACUGAGACACGGCCCAAACUCCUACGGGAGGCAGCAGUGGGGAAUAUUGGACAAUGGGCGCAAGCCUGAUCCAGCCAUGCCGCGUGAGUGAUGAAGGCCUUAGGGUUGUAAAGCUCUUUCACCGGAGAAGAUAAUGACGGUAUCCGGAGAAGAAGCCCCGGCUAACUUCGUGCCAGCAGCCGCUGUAAGAC